UUGCAGUGAGCCGAGAUCGCGCCGCUGCCCUCCAGCCAGGGGGACAGAGCGAGACUCCGUCUCAAAAAUAAAAACAAAUAAAUAAAUAAAUAAAUAAAUAUUCUUGAGACUUUGUUUUGGAACACUGUAAAGUUGUUGGAAACAGUCUGAUUAUUUCAAGGCUUGCUUUUAAGCUUUGUUAGGUGGGCAAGAGCAGCCUUUAGUUUUUCUCCAUUCACUGAAGCAAUAUCCUUCUGAGUACUUUACCUGAUGCUCUGUUCAUUAUGAGGUUUUUUCUUUGGCUGUAGUAGCAUGAACUAUUCCCAGAUUUGUGUGAACUUCUGGAAUUUUUCUGCCUGCUUCUUGAAGGUUCUUAACCUGUUCUUGGGUAUUCCCUCAUAUGCUUGUGCUGAUCAAUAUUCAGCCAAAGACUUGAAAGGAGCCCUCUGCAUGUCUCUGGAACCCUCCCUUCUCUGUGUAGCUGCAUUCUGUCUGGUACUCCUACCUAUAAAUUCUAGACCCCAGGGCCUUCCCCAAAUUCUCAAUUCGGUCUCCUCAACUCAGCAAGACUGCUUGGUUCUUUUUGGGUUCUCCCUUUUUGCACCACAGCCUAGAAACUGCCUCCUUGUAAAACUGCUUGAAUGCAAUAAUCUUGGAGCAAUUAUGGGACUCACUUUGUUUAAUUCUACUAUCCUGUGCUGCCUGGUGUCUAAUAUCUAAAAUCCACUUUUUCGUAUUUUUAAAAUUGUUUUUCAGUUGUUUGAAAUUUGAAGAGUAAGACAACUCUUCAUUACCUUAGUAAGUGAGUUUCUCCAGUUGCUCAGGCCGAAAGCUCCAUAUCUAAUCUACUACCAUGUCAUGCCAGUUCUGCACUUCCACAGCUACUAGGUUAAGCCUCCUUCACUCUCACCUGGACUACUGUGUGACCCACCGAUCUGUUUCCAUUCUUGUCUCCUACAGUUGGGUUUUCAUAGCCACAUGAAUGAGCAUCAAAAUUUGGAAACUAACAUUGUUCCUACUUAAACCUUUCCUGGCUUUCUCUUUGGUGGCCUCCAAGGCCCUUCAUUAUCAUGCUUGCCUUGCUUUCUAGCUUCACCUCCUUUACAGCCUCACUCCUUUACCUCACCACCACACUGACCUCCCUCUGCUCGUCUAUUAUUCCAAUUAUUCUAUUAUUCUGCUCUUCUAUUAUUCUUUCUCAUAUCAGGCUUGUGCAAGCUUGUUUCAUCUGCCUGGAAUGUAUUUUCUUAGGUUCAUCUCUGGCUGGCUGCUGCUUAUCUCUCAGCUGUCAGCUAUCAGUUCCUAGAGGGCCUUCUCUCAUGACCCUAAUUAAAGUAGUUACCCAUUUUAUCCAUUAUCAGUUAUAUCGCCUUGUUAAUUUCCUUCAUGGCACUUACCACAAUUUUAUCGUGUUUAUUUUUUGACUGUCUGUCUCCUUUCCCACUAGAGUGUAAGUCCCUUGAAGGCAGAGACUUUUUCUUGUCCCCAGAACAUAUAAUAGGUGUUCAAUAAAAAUGUGUUGAAUGAAGAAUAGACCUCAAGUAAUUUACCAUUCAUGUAGUUUUUUUUCUGUUAGGAUAGAGGAUUGUACAUUUGAUUCUUGAACAAUGCAGGGGUUAGGGGCAUCAUCCUCCUGUCCUGUCGAAAAUUCAUGUAUAACUUUGAUACCCCCAAAACUUAAUAGCCUACAGUUGACUGGGAGUCUUGCCAGUAACACAAUCAAUCAACACAUUUUGUAUGUUAUUUGUAUUAUAUACUGUAUUCUAAAAGUGAGCUAGAAAGAAGGUAAAUGUUAUAAAGAAAAUCCUAAGAAAGAGAAAACGUAUUUCCUCUUCACUAAGUAGAAGUGGAUCAUCAUGAAAGUCUUCCUCUUUGUCAUCUUCACAUUGAGUAGACUGAGGAGGAAGAGGAGGGGUUGGUCUUGCUGACUCGGGGUGGCAGAGGUGGAAGGGGAAGCACAAGAGGCAGUCACACUUGGUCUAACUCUACAGAAAUACAUUUUAAUUUGACUUUUUGCUUUUUUCAUUUCUCUAAAAAUGUUUCCAUAUAGUACCAAUCCUUCUACUGUUUGCUUUAGUUUCAGUGUCCAUAUCAUAGAAGAGUCCAUGUUGUAAAAGAAGUCAAAAGCAGCCUUGAAUAAUUGGAACCCUUCUGCCAGAUUGUCUUACAUCAGCUUGUUCUUUGGCAUUGCUUCUAAGUUUUCUUCCUUAUCAUCUUGCACUGCUUUGGAAUCACUCAUCUCCAUCAACAAGUCAUCUGUUAAUUCCUGUGGUGUGGUGUUUAUUAGCUCUUGAAUUUCUUUUGAAACCCUUCACACCCCACCUUUUUGCCACAUCCACAAUCUCUUUCAUGAUUUCCUUGACUGACUCUUUUGUAAAUCCUAUGAAGUUAUGACAAUAUCUGCACAGUUUUCUCCAGCCGGAAUUUAGUGUUUUGGGCUUGUUGACUUUCACGGCUUUUUCUGUAACAAUGAUGGCAUCUUCAGUGACAUGGCAUAAUCAUUCCUUCCAGACUUGCAUAAUGUUCUCUCUUGGGCUUCUCUUUCACAGCAUUGACAGUCCUUUCCAGAGUACUGUGUGUAAUAGAUCUAAAACGUCCUUAUGACCCCCUCAUUCCUGAAUUAAAGAUGUGUUUGGGAGCACAGAGACCACUCCAUUGCUGUGGUGUUGAAUUUAUGGGGUUUUAGGUGGUCAGGGGCAUUCUCCAGUAUCAAAAGAACUUUAAAAGGUAGUGUCUUACUAGCAAGGUACUUCCUGACUUUAGGGACAAAGCAUUGACAGAACCAAUCCAGAAAAAGGGUUCUCAUUGUCUAGGACUUCUUGGUAUACAACCAAAAGACUGGCAGCUGAUGUUUUUUAUUUUUAUUUUUUCUUCAAGGCUCGGGGGUUAGCAGCUUUACAGAUAUGUGUAGUCCUGAUCGCAAACACAACAGCAUUUGCACAGUGUUAGCUUAUCCUUUCCUGCCUAAAUCAUGGUGCUUGCUUCUCUUUCUAAUAAAUUUCCUUUGUGGCAUUGUUUCCCAGAAUAGGCACUUUCUACUGCAUUAAAAACCUGUUAAGGCAGAUUUCUUUUCUUCUCAUUUAACUUCUGAAUGGCAUCUGUGAACUUGUCUGCUGCUUCUUAGCAAAUCUACUUUCCUUUUGCUUUAAAUUGUCAUAUGACUUUGCUUUUUCUUGAAUCACAUUGGAAUCUAUAGAUCUGCCUUAGAGCACUCCUGUACUCACACGAAGCUGCAUUUUAAAUGCAGGUUAAAAAGCUGUUUCACAAAAAGUGCAAGGUUUUCAUGCCUGGUGGCAUAACUGCAGCAAAAGCUUCAUGAGUUUUCUUUUCUUUUUGCUUUCCUUUCUCUUUCCUUCUUUCUUUUUUUCUUUUUUCUUUUUUUACAAUGGUCCUUAUGCUGGACUCAUUUAUCUUGAAAUGGUAGGCAACCACAGACCCCAGUCUACGCUAUGUAAGCAAUUCAACUUUUUCUUCUAAUGUCAUGACUGUUCUGUGCUUCUUGGGAGCACUUCUGUCACUGGUGGUACUUCAUAUGGGUCUUGCAGUUUUUAUGUCCUCAAGGUUUACAGUGUCGCACUAACCACGGAAGAUAUGCAAGAACCGCAAGGGAUCACUUUUUACUGUGGUCCACGGUUUAUGAAGAGAUGAACUGCCCACACAAAGAUGGUUAGCAUCACGUGUUUUAAACAGACUCUUUCGACACUUGAAUUCACCACAAUAGCAACAGGAGGUAAUUACAAAAUAAUUAUAGUAGCUCAGCAUGUACUACAGUUAAUUUUAUGCAGUUAUGAUUUAAUACUGUAUUUUUGUUUACAUUUCUCUCAACUGUGGAUGGUGCCAGUUUGUGUACAGUUUGUGUUUGUAUGUUUCUAUAAAUUUUAACUUCUUAUAAUAGAUUUGUGUGUAUUUUAUAGUAAAUGAUAAAAUAGGCUAGUAUCUACAUACUAUUUUAAUUUUUCUGUAUUUCUAGGCUACAUGGUUUUUUUCAAAUUGUCACAAAUCUCAAAAAAAUUUUCCAAUAUACUUACAGAAAAAAAACCUGUAUAUAAGUGGACCCACACCGUUCAAACCUGUGUUGUCCAAGAAUUGACUGUAAUUUCAUGGUUCUCCCACCUUCAAUGCUUCAUUUAUCCCUGUAUAGUAAUUUCUAGGAACUUGGGCUUUUAUUUUGAUUUCAAAAAAGGAAUGCGAUUUUGGUGUUAAUUACUUGUUACUGAGAAAUUAAACCAAGAUGUAAAAACAAUUAGAUUAGGCCAUUCAUACAUUUAGUUGGAAUAGUAAUAACCAUAGAAGGGUAAGAAAAAUACCUGUUGACUUAAUUUUAUAAUCUGUAGUUGGGAAAAAUUCUCUCUCUGAAAGUUGCUAUGGGUGCAUAAUAUGCAGCAGGGGGUCCCCAGCCACCCACACUCCCCACUGGCCAAACAGCAGGAGGUAAGCUGCAGGGGAGAGUGAAGCUUCGUCUGUAUUGACAGCUGCUCACACUGCUUGCAUUACCACCUGAGCUCCAUCUCUGUCAGAUCAGCAGCAGCAUUGGAUUCUUAGAGGAGCACGAACCCUAUUGUGGACUGUGCACGUGAGGAUCUAGGCUGCGUGUUCCUUAUGAGAAUCUAAUGCCUGAUGAUCUGUCACUGUCUCCCGUCACUUCCAGAUGGGACGUCUAGUUGCAAGAAAACAAGCUUGGGGCUCCCACUGAUUCUACAUUAUGUGGGACAUCGUCAGUAGCUGUUAGAAGACAACUGCCAUCUUUAACGAUGAGUUAACGGUCUCGUCUUCUGCAAGGACUCCCAUAUUUCUCUCUGUAAACAUGCAACAUGCUAUUGAGAACAUCAACUUCCAAGCCAAACCUAACUUUUUCAUUACCGUGGAAACAGCUGAACAAGAAGGAUAAAAACAGACAUGAUACAGCAGAUAACUUGGCACAAAUACAAAGUGAGUUGUGACCACAUUGUUAAUAUCAACAUAUGUCAUUUGUUCAGACACUCAUGAGGAUGAGCUGGGCAGCCUGAGCAGGGCGGGUCAGAUGAGCGUGUGGAUGCAGCUCCUUCCUGAGUGCGAGGGAGGGCAGCCGGCCAGGGGGACAGUUGGUUCUUAGCAAUCCUAAAGGCCCUUCAUGCAGCCUAGGUAACUUGAUGCUCACAUUAACAUGUACUUAUCUGCUUCAGAAUAUCUGAAAAAAAAAAAAGGCUUUUUCUGGAAAAAUGCUGCUGUAAGAAGAUUACAACUUGUUUUUGUUUUAUACUAAAGGUUACUGCCGUUUCUCAGCCAUACCAAUAAUGCCUGUGACUUUAUUUCCACUUGGCACCUUCCAGGGCCCUGGAGUUAUCGGUGUUUUCUUAACUGGAGAACUACUUUCAGGCACAAUGUCCUUUAAUUCUUCUGCCUUUUCACAUAUCUGAACUCUCAUUAAAGAUUCUUCAAUUACUGGCACGUGAGACUCUUCAAAUAUGGAAGCAGAAUGUGAAGAUGGGGGUAAUGGUGACUGUUCAUCAUAAAUCACAUUUGACGACGAAGGAUUAUUAAUAUCCCAAUCACCUAAAAAAGUGAUUGAAUGGAACAUUAUUAAGUUUUAGAAUUACAAAUAGGAACAGUACGUUUUGAACUUUGACAGCCAUUUGAAUUGUACUAACUGCUUAAAAAGCCUGUAUUUUAUACAGUUUGUGUAUGUUUACAACAUAUCUCUCUACAAAUAUAGGCAGAUGUGUAUAAACAUCUGUUCAUACAUGAAGGAUAGGUUGUUUAUAUACAUAAAAUAAUAUUCAUUUUUUUUCCAAUUACAUAUAAUUAGUGAGAUAAUAUAUGUUCUGUAAAUUCUCUAUUAGUAAAGUCCAAUUAGAACUUACAAGUUAUAAAGUUGAACCAAAUUACCUGGCCCAAGAAGCUCACUAAUUAUUAUGAAUUGAUAUAGUUUAGGAUAUGGCAAAAUCACUAAUUAAUAAAGGAAACCAAACUGUGGUAACCAGAAUGAGGCUCAUGGGCAUUUGUAAAUAAUUCUCUUGCAUUAAGCUGUCAAAUUUAAUGUCAAAAGGAGACUGAAAAGUGCAGAAGAUAGAAAUAGAUGUAUUUAAUAGCAUCAUUUUUAAUUUAAAAGAAAACAAAAGAAGAAAGUGAUUUACAAGACAUGCAAAUUUACCAAGUCUUUUUAAGGAAAGACCAAGAAAAGCCCUGAAAGCCUUAAUGUUGCUCGGGUUUCACGUAGGAGCACAGACCGGAAGGAGCCAAACCUGAAGAGGGAAGAGAAAAAGCCUAGGACUAUGUGAAAAAAAAAAUCAGUGCAGUUAGCAAAGAUGUCACUGGGAACGUAUGAUUUACAAGCAGAUGGUGGAAGAUAAUACAGUCAGAGAAUCAUAAGCUGGAAGGCUACUGUAGGAGGUUAUGUCUACACUUAUCCCUCAAAAGUGGUAGGGUGGGGUAGGGCAGGGAGUGGGGAGCUAGAUGAGGCAAGUACUGUGUGGGUGUCGUACUGCCUUUAUUUCUAGAAUAGUGCACUCAAAAAACAGUGACUUUCAAAUACCAUGAUAUUUUAAAACAUGCAAUGGAAACCCAGGAAGUUUAACAUUAAUACAAGACAGACAUGGUCUCAGGUCCAACUCCGUGUCUCCAGGUAGGGUGAUAGCAACUUGUUUUUGCCGAGUCACCAGAAAAGCCUAAAGUUUUCAUGCUACGUAUUCAUUAUAAUAUAAACUUAUCUUGCUUUACAGAAAUAAAAAUAAUGGUUGGUAAUGUGUAAUUAGCUAAGUAAGGGAAAAAGCUGGGGUAUUUUGCAGAGAUUUAAAAUGUUUUUUAUGAUAUUUAAAUUGUGUGCCUCUAAUACACUUUUUUUAUAGGCACAUUUCUCUACAAAAACAACUAUGUUUUUUCUGAUUCAAUUUAAAAUACAUUCCAUUCCAACGAAAGUCCUGCCUAAGUCACUUGUUUUCUAAUACUAUUUAUGGUAACUCUGCUAUGUAACUAGCUUUUCAUGGUUCUAGCAUUCAUCUCUGAAUUAACUAGUAAAAUGUCUAUCCUCUGCAAAUAUAUAUUCAUUUUUCUUCUGCCCCUCCUCCAUAAUAUACAACUUUUCAGCUACUAGUGGGCUACUUGACUUACCAUGGUCAGGUAUCAAGCCAGUUCCUGGCCUCAAAAGAAGAAGAACUUUAUUUCCGCCAGCCUGAAUGAGCUCAAUUGCUCGAGUAUGUGUGAUUCCUUGUGUAGGUUCCCCAUUGAUUUCAACAAUCUGGUCACCAACCUAGACAGAGAACAUUCACAGGAACAACAUGAAACUAUGCAUCCUUUGUAAAUUCUGCUUUUGUCAGCUCUUGAGCCAUUCAACCUUGCUAAGUGAUUCUUUCGUCUGUAAAAUACCUAACGUGUACCCAGUGCUGCCCUGUGAGAGUUGAUGAGAGGACAGAUGAUAACAAACAACAGGAAGCGGCAGUGUCCAGGUUUACUCACAAAAAAAUCCUACACCGGAAAAUUUUAUAUGGCUAGUAACUAAGAUCUGGACAUCUUGAA